rnacentral:rRNA from 1 species
AUGGUCUCAAGACUAAGCCAUGCACGUCUAAGUACAAACUAAAUGAUGGUGAAACUGCAAAUGGCUCAUUACAACGGUUAUGAUGUACCCGGGAGUUCCGAUGGAUAUUUCCAGUAACACUAGAACUAAUACAUGUCCCUGCGUUUAUUAGUUUCGCACAGUCCGUCGCUGAGUCAUGGUAAACAGUUGAUCGACUCGACGUCCCGGAACAGUUUCCGCCCCAUCAGCUUCGAUGGUUGGGUAUUGGCCUACCAUUGCAACAACGGGUAACGAGGAAUUAGGGUUUGAUUUCGGAGAGGGAGCCUGAGAAACGGCUACCACAUCUACGGAUGGCAGCAGGCGCGCAAAUUACCCAAUGCAGACACUGUGAGGUAGUGACGAGAAAUAAUAAAGCGGGACUUCUGUUUCGCUAUUAUAAUGAGGAAUAACCAAAGGUCAUUCCGAUUGGCGAGCUGAUGGGAAAGUCUGGUGCCAGCAGCCGCGGUAAUACCAGCGUCAGU